AUUGAACGCUGGCGGCAGGCCUAACACAUGCAAGUCGAACGGUAACAGGAAGCAGCUUGCUGCUUCGCUGACGAGUGGCGGACGGGUGAGUAAUGUCUGGGAAGCUGCCUGAUGGAGGGGGAUAACUACUGGAAACGGUAGCUAAUACCGCAUAAUGUCGCAAGACCAAAGAGGGGGACCUUCGUGCCUCUUGCCAUCGGAUGUGCCCAGAUGGGAUUAGCUUGGUGGUGGGGUAACGGCUCACCAAGGCGACGCUCCCUAGCUGGUCUGAGAGGAUGACCAGCCACACUGGAACUGAGACACGGUCCAGACUCCUCAGGGAGGCAGCAGUGGGGAAUAUUGCACAAUGGGCGCAAGCCUGAUGCAGCCAUGCCGCGUGUAUGAAGAAGGCCUUCGGGUUGUAAAGUACUUUCAGCGGGGAGGAAGGGAGUAAAGUUAAUACCUUUGCUCAUUGACGUUACCCGCAGAAGAAGCACCGGCUAACUCCGUG
rnacentral:rRNA from 1 species